CCUUUCAAAGUUACCAAUAUCAUGAUUAACCCAUUUGAGGCCAAACAAAAACUAGAAGGGUAACCUUAGAUUUUUUUUUAGUUUAUUAAUUAUUAGCAACACAAAGAUACAAAAAAAUAAGAAAAAAGUCUUCAUAAAUAUUUUUCAGGAUUUUACAGGGGUGUACCCAAAUUGGCACAAUGGCCACUUAAGAGUAAAAAUUCGUAAUACAAGAUUUGUCAUUGAUGAACUGUUUUCUUGCGUUUUUACGACCCCAACGGAGUAAUUUUGGCAAAUGAUACAAGGAAUAUUCUGAGGAAGCUUUUCAGGAACGUGAUCAGCGCCGUCUAGUUGUGACGAUGGGCGAGCAGAUUGGCUUUGGAUUAAUUCCUUGAGAUCAAUUCUGGCUAAACUUCGUCGAGAUAAUAAUUCGAUCCAUGGGGUAGUCUUUAUAGGCAAUCGCUAUAGGCAUUUCAUAUUGUCAU